AGCAGCCGCGGUAAUUCCAGCUCCAAUAGCGUAUAUUAAAGUUGUUGCAGUUAAAAAGCUCGUAGUUGAAUUUCGGGAUUGGCGCAUCAGUCGUGCCUCACGGGGUAUGAACUGGUGCAGUCAAUUUCUCACCUUCUGGAGAACCGCGAUGUCCUUAAUUGGGUGCCGCGGGGAACCAGGACCUUUUACUUUGAAAAAUUAGAGUGUUUAAAGCAGGCAUUUUUGCUUGAAUACAUUAGCAUGGAAUAAUAAAAUAGGACGGCAUGGUUCUAUUUUGUUGGUUUCUAGGACCACCGUAAUGAUUAAUAGGGAUAGUUGGGGCAUUAGUAUUCAAUUGUCAGAGGUGAAAAUUCUUAGGAUUUAUUGAAGACUAACUACUGCGAAAGCAUUUGCC
rnacentral:rRNA from 1 species